AGCAGUAGCCGCGGUAAUACGUAGGUGGCAAGCGUUGUCCGGAAUUAUUGGGCGUAAAGCGCGCGCAGGUGGUUUAAUAAGUCUGAUGUGAAAGCCCACGGCUCAACCGUGGAGUGUCAUUGGAAACUGUUAAACUUGAGUGCAGGAGAGAAAAGUGGAAUUCCUAGUGUAGCGGUGAAAUGCGUAGAGAUUAGGAGGGACACCAGUGGCGAAGGCGGCUUUUUGGCCUGUAACUGAAACUGAGGCGCGAAAGCGUGGGGAGCAAACAGGAUUAGAUACCCCGGUAGUCCCUGUCUCUUAUAC
rnacentral:rRNA from 1 species